AGAGUUUGAUCAUGGCUCAGAUUGAACGCUGGCGGCAGGCCUAACACAUGCAAGUCGAGCGGUAGCACAGAGAGCUUGCUCUCGGGUGACGAGCGGCGGACGGGUGAGUAAUGUCUGGGAAACUGCCUGAUGGAGGGGGAUAACUACUGGAAACGGUAGCUAAUACCGCAUAAUCUCUUAGGAGCAAAGCAGGGGAACUUCGGUCCUUGCGCUAUCGGAUGAACCCAUAUGGGAUUAGCUAGUAGGUGGGGUAAUGGCUCACCUAGGCGACGAUCCCUAGCUGGUCUGAGAGGAUGAUCAGCCACACUGGGACUGAGACACGGCCCAGACUCCUACGGGAGGCAGCAGUGGGGAAUAUUGCACAAUGGGCGCAAGCCUGAUGCAGCCAUGCCGCGUGUAUGAAGAAGGCCUUCGGGUUGUAAAGUACUUUCAGCGAGGAGGAAGGCAUUAAGGUUAAUAACCUUAGUGAUUGACGUUACUCGCAGAAGAAGCACCGGCUAACUCCGUGCCAGCCGCCGCGGUAAUAC
rnacentral:rRNA from 1 species